UGACAGUACUCCUACGGGGAGGCAGCAGUGGGGGAAUAUUGCACAAUGGGCGCAAGCCUGAUGCAGCCAUGCCGCGUGUGUGAAGAAGGACCUUCGGGUUGUAAAGCACUUUCAGUCGUGAGGAAGGUAGUGUAGUUAAUAGCUGCAUUAUUUGACGUUAGCGACAGAAGAAGCACCGGCUAACUCCGUGCCAGCAGCCGCGGUAAGUACGGAGGGUGCGAGCGUUAAUCGGAAUUACUGGGCGUAAAGCGCAUGCAGGUGGUUUGUUAAGUCAGAUGUGAAAGCCCGGGGCUCAACCUCGGAAUAGCAUUUGAAACUGGCAGACUAGAGUACUGUAGAGGGGGGUAGGAAUUUCAGGUGUAGCGGUGAAAUGCGUAGAGAUCUGAAGGAAUACCGGUGGCGAAGGCGGCCCCCUGGACAGAUACUGACACUCAGAUGCGAAAGCGUGGGGAGCAAACAGGAUUAGAUACCCUGGUAG
rnacentral:rRNA from 1 species